GCCCCCCAUAGCUCAGCCUGGAUAGAGCGUCGGACUUCGAAUCCGCAGGUCGGGGGUUCAAAUCCCUCUGGGGGCGCCA
rnacentral:tRNA from 1 species